AUAUAUAUAUAUAUAUAUAUAGUAAUUUCUCCUAGAGUCAGCUAAUCAACCUUUUUUAAUCAGAUAUGUGAGACUCACUUUACCCUUUUAAAAGUAUUUCUAACAUUGAAUGAAAGCUAACUGCAUGGUGCUGGGGAUGGCAGUGUUGGUCACUUGACCUUUUGGGUCCAGACUGAUAUAUCUCAACAGCUAUUGGAUGAAUUACCGUGAAAUUUUUCCUUAUCCUCAGACAAUGAAGCCGACUUAGUUUUAGGAUCCCCUGACUUUUUCUCUAGCCACACUAUGACGGUGACAUUUAUGGUUUUGAGUGAAAUGUCUCAGCAGUUGUUGGAUGGACUGCCAUGACAUUUGAUGCUGAUAUCCAAGGUGCCCAGGGGAUGAACUGUAAUCACCUUACUGAUCCAUUCGCUUUGCAUCUAGCGCCAUCAUCAGGUCAAAACUCAAUUUAUCCAGUUGGUUUAUGAACAAAUACCUGCAAAACUAAUGGCAUUCUCAUCAGCAGUUGGUGAGCAUUUUAUCUGCUAAACAUCAACAUGUUGGCAUUUUCAUUGUGAGCAUGUUGGCAUGCCGACCUUGGCAUGACACAGUACAUCCUCACAGAGCUGCUAAUGUGGCCGUAGACUCUUGCUUAACACUAGGCUAUCAGGACACUUAAAACCUUGAAGCAGCCGUUAGUUCAUCAGGCAUCAUCUUCCUGCUAUAUCACUGUUUACCUUGAUUGAAUGGCUUUCACUCACUUUAUUUGCAGAGAAAAUAAAAGGUUGAAUUCCAGAUUUGAAUUUCAAAGAAGAAAUUAUGUUUGCAGAGGCACGCAAGAUAACUAAUUUUACUUCUCAGAGAGUUCAGGUGGAAAUUAUUAGGGAGAUGCUUCAUAUCUCCAAAGCAGACUGGUAAACCUGACCACACCCUCUUCAGAAGGGGGUAGACCACAUACAUAACAAACUGCAGAUCAUUUGGGAUUCUGUAUGCAGAGAGACCAAAAAAGUAUUUGGGGAGAAAUCCCACAGGAUUUCAGGCUUGUUGUAUUGAGUAUCUUUCCUGAGGGAAUAAGUAAAGUAUCCAUUGUAUCUAUUACAAAGGCUAACAUUUACUGACACAGCAGCUAUUACAUUAAAUUGGCUUCAGUCAAAUGCCCCAGAAUUACAAAUAAUGGCUAUCCAAAUUGAAAGAAAAUGAAAACAAACACAAACAGCGGCUCCAAAAACCCACACCAAUUAAUAUCACACUGCUCUCUGAAGUGACAUCCCAGUUACCAAAGUCGGCCCCUCAGUUUGCCUUCUGUCUCCUGCUGAGGUGGGAGAAGAGGGUGGGAGGGGGUGAGGAGCAGGAGAGAAAUGCUGGGAACAGAUGGUGGAGUGGCCCCUAUGUUCAACUGCCUGGGUGAUUAUGGACACAGCUGUCAGUCACUUUGCAUGUACGUGUGUCUGUGUGUGCACAUGUGUGUAUUUGAUUUUGUGCCUGUAUGCAAUGUCUGUGCAGUGUGUUUGUGUGUGUGUGUGUGUGUGUCUGUCUGUGUAUGUGCGUCUAACUCUCCCAUGUGUUCCCCUGUUCCUUUGUACUCAAUGUGUCUGUGUAAUAUUACAUUAAAUUUGUGUGUUUAUUACCCAAACAUAUUUUUGCUGACAUAUUUAUGCAACAGCAGAGCUCAGAUCUCAGAUCAGAGUUCACACAAAACCUUGGAAAGAAUGUAAGAUUCAUGUCACCUGUCCACACUGCUGUGAGCAAAGGUUUUCUCUCUCUCUCUCUCUCUCUCUCUCUCUCUCUCUCCCUCUCUUCUACCUUUGAGAUUUUGACUCAGUGUUUCUUUAUAAUUGGGCUUUACCCCCAUCUAGUGGUGGCUCACAUUAUUGCUGCUCAUCUUUUGUCAUGGCAAUACAGUAUUUACAUGGUGCAAAAUUCCCAGCCACACCUCAUUACCAGGCUCAUUCUGUUCGACUUAAUUUGAUUUGAUUGUUAUUAAUUUAAUAAAAAUCUGUAAUAAACAGAAAUUAAAUUCCUCAUUCUCUUAUAACAUUUCUAUUUUUCAUAAAAUGGCAACCAUUCUUUUAAAAUAUGAAACGCAGCUUGUGGUCACUGACAUUAUUAUCUAUUUUUAUUCUAUUUUUCCGGUUUAAUAAUUAAAGUUAACCGGAACUAAUGGACAUUUGGGGGCAGCGCAACAAGCAGUGAACGCAUCACUGAAAGAGAGGAGGAAUUAGUUAGCAAACAGUUGUUUACGUUCAAGUCCAACAAGUGGGGCGACAUUAGCCUCUAUGGAGUCAUGUUUCUGGCCGCCUGACGAAUCGCAGACCAUGCCAAUGCUCCAGAACAGGAACUCAGGGAAUGUGUUCAUACAAGUCUGGUCAUCCACAACAGGCACAGUUAUACACUUCAGACGUUGAUAAUGCUCGUCUGUUUCAGAGAGGAUGAAGGAAAAUUGUGCGAGACACUGGAGGAGCUGAAGGCUGAAGGUCAUGCUGAAAAUGCUGCAGCAAUUGAAUUAAAG